rnacentral:lncRNA from 1 species
GGCGGCGUCGUCCUCGGCGUCCGUGGAGCGCACCCGAUCCAACGGCGGCUAUCGGACGGGUCGGGUCUCUCCGGCUCUGGACCCGCCCUCCCCCAAGGUCUCCGUCUGCGGCUUCUGCACCUUCUUCGGGAAGCCCCGCCCCAACUCCGACGCCAACAGCCGCCGCCGCCGCCGCCGCUAGCUGCUCUCUCUUCAGUGAUUUUGGGCUCGAUUCCUCCACCUCCCCCCUCCCACCUUUUUUUCCUUUUUCUUUUCUUUUUUUUUCUUUUUUUUGAGAAAAUUUUCCUUUUCCUUUUUUNGAACAUAUACAACCCACCAACCCAACUUUUUUUUCUUUUUUUUAACAAUCACCAAAGAAAGGCCGUAAUCAUUUACGCCUUCCUAAAUUGCAAUUUGAGCUUACAAUAGUGUUAUCCCUACCGUAUAUUAUAAAUAGAUAAAGACUAGAGAGUAUGUACCUUAGAUUGAAACUAUUAUUCGAUUAGUUUUUCUAGAUAUUUCAAUGAUACGUGGUUUUUAAUCAUCUAAAUUUUCACUUAUAUUUUCGUGCAGAGAAAAAGAGAGAGGGAUGCACAUCCCGGGAUUUUCCUUUGGGAUGGGUCGAUACGGUGGUAUGUGAACAUUUUUCUAGCUAGUGCCGCUGAAGAUAUAUAAUAUAUAAUAUGUAAUAAUAUACCAAACAAACAAAAGUUGGGGCAAGAACCAAUUAUGUUAAAAAAUGAAUAUAGAUCGAUGCAGUCUAUAUUUCAAAGAAAAAGGAUAGAGACUGCGUUUGACUGUCCAAGAAGAUCAUCGGGGAAAAUUGGAAACACAUUUCCAACAGCAGGUGCAAAUAAAAAAAAAAUAAUAAAUGAACAGGUGAUAAAGAGACAACGUGGGUGGAUAAGGAGAGGCCGGUAAACGAAGUGGGGGCGGGAGAUGGACGGCGGAUGGACGAAGCAGCAGAGUUUGAACAGAUCUAGGGAGAGGAUGGAUGGAUGGAUGGAUGGAUGGAUGGACGGAAAGAAGCCAACAGUUGCACCUAGAACACAAGCAAAUAAUAAUGAGAAAACUAAUUGCACCUACAUCCGCGUGCGACUCUGAAUUCCCUCCAUGAAAUGUUGACCGCUACCUCCCUGCAGUGCUUUGUCCUUUCCGCCUGCCCAGCGCACAACGCCACUUAUAUAUUAUUAGUUCUAAAUAAAUUAUAAAAUGCGUCGUCCCGAUGUGUUGACGUAUAGACUCAAAUUUGCUCGCGCACGCAACAGCCGCUAGCGGUAGCGGAACAAAAAUACGAAAUAAUACGUAUAUAUAGUAGCACAUACCCCGUUCUUCCCGCAUAAUAUACCUAUAUAACUUACAGGUCGAGGCACGAGCAGAGGCUGUCGCCGAAACAAUCAAUCAUUGAGCUGAGUUGGUAAUUGAAAGGCCCAGGACCAACAACAUACUCUUAAUUAAUUGUUGUAGAUCUUCUUCUCCUUUUUCUUCUUCUUCUUCUUCUUCUUCUUGUAAUUCUCGGCGAGAGAGGUCUAAAGAGAGAGAGAGAGAGAGAGAGAGAGAGAGAGAGAGAGAGAAUAAAGGGGGCAGGGGCGGGGGUGGUAUAAUAAUAAUAAUAAUAAUAAUAAUAGUCAGUGAAAUAUAUAUCCAGAUAUAUAUGGCGGGUCUACAGCGGUCGAGCGAGACGUUUCGGAGGUCGGGAUCGUCGGGGCUGGUGUGGGAGGACCGAUUCCUGCCGGGGGAGGCGGAUUCGGGCGGCGGCGGCGGCAACAACGACAACAACAACAACAAGGGGGCCCGUGGUCAGGAGGAGCGGGCGGCGUCGUCCUCGGCGUCCGUGGAGCGCACCCGAUCCAACGGCGGCUAUCGGACGGGUCGGGUGUCUCCGGCUCUGGACCCGCCCUCCCCCAAGGUCUCCGUCUGCGGCUUCUGCACCUUCUUCGGGAAGCCCCGCCCCAACUCCGACGCCAACAGCCGCCGCCGCCGCCGCCGCUAGCUGCUCUCUCUUCAGUGAUUUUGGGCUCGAUUCCUCCACCUCCCCCCUCCCACCUUUUUUUCC